AUGGAGGGAGGUGGAAGAAGGAGCCACGGGGCUGGAUGUGGGCCAGGUCAGUCUCCAAACUGCCUGGGGCUUCCGGGAGGCAGUACGCCUGCUCACCUCUGGCUGCAGCCAGAGACUCUGGGGAAUUUCUUCUCCCACCUCCCAAACCAGAAGCAAAUGCACAGCUGUUGGCUCAAACACGGAGUCCGGGGCAAUUUGUCACAGGAGCCACAGGAAAUCCCCCCACCCCGCCCCUGGGCAGCUCUGGGCCGCAGGAACCUGGCUGGCUCCUGGAAAAAUCUGACUCAUCAAAGCAGCGUUGCUCAACUGGACGGGCCUCGCCCACGGGAGAGCCGCUGCCCGCAGGGUAGGGUUUCAGGGGCCACAGAAAACAUCGCCCCACCCCCACCCCGCCAUCUGUGCCUUCUCAGCCGUGGCUGGAGUGCUAGCCGGGGACACCAGUGCCCAAGGAGUCUUCGUGGGGAGGCGCCAACCUGCACGGAAGCAGAGCUGGCGCCUGCAUGGGGAGGGGGUGGCCCCGGGGCAGAAAGGGUCUGGGAGGGUGGCGGCAGAGGGAGGCAUGCGUGCCUCACUCCUCAGAUGGGCACCAGCCUGUUCUGCACCCCCAGCUCCCCCGCGCCACCUCGUCCUCGGCAUCGGCACAGGUGCAUCCUUGAUGAGCAAACCCACCCCAGGGCCUUCCCACAUCUACGCCUGGAGGGGGAGAGGCCUCCCCGGGGGUCUCCCCAGAAACGGGUGCCCAGCCCGCUCCACAAGCUGCGUCUACCUCCCCUCUCCCCAAGGACUGGCCCAGCCCCCAGGGCCUCGCAGUGGGACUGCGUCUACAAAGGUCUCUGGAGAGGGGACUGGGGUCAGGCGGGGUCCUCAUCCGAUCUGACCAGCGUCCUCACAAGGAGAGAGGCAGGGCCAGUGUUGUACACCCAGGGGGACCACCUGGAAGAGGUGGCAAAGGGCAGUCAACAAGCUCCAUCCGGGGCUCCAGCUCCAAAACAGAGGAUAAACAGGUGA
rnacentral:lncRNA from 1 species